CUCAGGACGAAAAAGUUCGAUCGGCAAUGACCGGAGUAAUUUGUGCUGCAUCAAAUGAAGAUCAGACUCUCUUACUCUCUUCGUCGUCUUCGAUCUUCUGCUUCUCCCAGCCGACGGCCGACGCAGCCACUCACCGUCGCCCAGGACGCAGUCACGAGCCAGCGAUCUCCGGCAACCACUCCCAGCGAGGCAGCGAGUCAGUGAUAGAAGAAAUGGAUCAGCAAGCAGCAGCAAUGCCGGCGGAUAAUGAAUUGCUGGAGAAACGGCCCGGAGUGCUCAUCGUUGGAGCUCCUAAUGUUGGCAAACGUACACUCCUCUCUCGACUACUUUCAAUAGAUUUGGACGACACUUCUGAUACAUCAUCCGGCUUACUUGCCUAUGGGUGGACGAUCAACACAAAGUACUACACAGCUGAUGUUUCUCUUUGGAUGGCCAAUCUUCAUGAGAAGUUUUCAGUUGAAGCCCUCCCAAUAUCUGAUCAGCUGGCUGCAUUAGUGAUGGUUUUCGAUAUAAGUGAUUUAUUGUCUUUUCUUGAACUUAAAGAUUGGGUGUCACACACUGAUAUCUCGAAGUUUGAUAUUUUGUUAUGCAUUGGCAACAAAGUGGAUCUUCUUCCUGGUCAUUCAGCUCAUGUUGAGUAUAGACGUCGUCUGCUGAAAUGUGCAGAAUCUUCAGGUAGUUCUUACACAGAAAUAUUAGACACUGGUAUUGAUGAGACAGAAGGGAGUAGUCUAUUAGGCGAUGACGAAUCCUCAUGGGAGAUUAAGCAAGCAUGCUUGCAAUGGUGCAUUGAACUCAACAUUGAAUACGUUGAAGCCUGUGCAUCAAAUGUUGACUUUGACAAGUGUUUAUCUGUCGAUGGCGAUUCACAGGGUGUUGAGCGACUCCAAGGGGCACUGUCAGCUUAUAUGUGGCCUGGAAUGGUACUUAAGUCUGGUGAUAAAAUAAAUGAACCUUCAUUGCCUCAAGAACAAGAUGUGUCAGAUGAAGAAUCCGAAUACGAACUUGAAUAUGAAAUCCUAUCUGCUGGUUCAGCAGAGCCCUGGGAUGAUGUAGAUGGAGGCUGGAUAUCUGCAGAUGGGCCUGUUACAACAACAGGGACAGCAGAAUCAAGCAAACAGAAAGAGAAUGGUUCUGAAGGAGAGGUGGGGCCUUCAACAUUGGAAUCUCAGCUGCCGGGAGUGAUUGAAAAAGAAGAAAUACCAGGAAAAGAUGAAGCUGACAUAGUAUCUGAGGCUGAUAAGGGCACAACAUACAAUUUUGAGGAUUUGGAGCAGUUAAUGGCUGAGAUUGGAAAUGUGCGUGAUAGCUUAAGAUUGAUGCCAGAUUUUCAAAGGAGGGAAAUGGCAGCCAAUCUGGCCAUGAAAAUGGCAACCAUGUUUGGUGAUAGCAGUGGAGAUGAAGAAGGAUUAGAUUGAUACGAGAAGACUUUUGAAGUGUUCUGUACCGUUGAUGCCUAUUAGCAACCAAAUCUAUCACAGAUGUUUAUCAACUAUUGAAAACAUGUUCACCUAUUUUGUACAAACAAAGUGAAAUCUAUGGGCUCCUGCUAAUGUUCUGUUCUUAAGGUAGGAUCUCCUCUUGUCCCAUGAAAGGUCUACGCAGGAUGAACAAAGAACGUGGAUGCUUAGCUGCCGUAAAUGUAGACUUUCAUGGUCAAGAGUCAGUAAGUUAUGAUUUGCUACUGGAGCUGUCGAGCUGCUAUUAGAGGAAGUUUUAGGUGCCUGGUGGGCAGAAGUUAGUAGAAUGGGAUUUGGGUCAAAAUAUGGUAGUGGAAAAUCCAUGAAAAUAACAUAAAUUUCAUCUUUAAAAAAAAAUAAAAAUCUGGGCAGGCAGACAUACUAGAUGACAGAUAAGGUAGGAAGUGGGAUUAUUCUGGUUGAUUUUGAUGUCUAGUGCACUUGUUCUGUAGCAGGAGAUAUAUUCUCAACCUCUUUGGAUGGAUAACCUUAACUUCACCAUUAGACAUCCAUUGUUGUAGAAUAUGACCAAUUGUUGUAUGCUUAAUUUGCAACUGGCAAUAUAUUUAUGUGUUAGUGUUAGAAGAUUGA